rnacentral:tRNA from 1 species
AGUUAAUGAGCUUGAACUAAGCAUUUGUUUUGAAAACAAAAGAUAGAAAAAAAAAUUUCUAUUAACUU